rnacentral:rRNA from 1 species
GACGAACGCUGGCGGCGUGCUUAACACAUGCAAGUCGAGCGAGGCCCCUCCUUCGGGAGGGUGUCCUAGCGGCGAACGGGUGAGUAACACGUGGGCAACCUGCCCUCAGCUCUGGGAUAACUCCGGGAAACCGGGGCUAAUACCGGAUACGACCUCCACGGGCAUCUGCGGAGGUGGAAAGUUUUUCGGCUGAGGAUGGGCCCGCGGCCUAUCAGCUAGUUGGUGGGGUAGUGGCUCACCAAGGCGACGACGGGUAGCCGGCCUGAGAGGGCGACCGGCCACACUGGGACUGAGACACGGCCCAGACUCCUACGGGAGGCAGCAGUGGGGAAUAUUGCGCAAUGGGCGAAAGCCUGACGCAGCGACGCCGCGUGAGGGACGAAGGCCUUCGGGUUGUAAACCUCUUUCAGCAGGGACGAAGCGAAAGUGACGGUACCUGCAGAAGAAGCGCCGGCCAACUACGUG